CGACGCGACGGACACCCAACCCAGCAUAGGUAAACCCCCCCCCCCCCCCCCCCCAACCCAAACCCUAACAACAAGGCAAGGCGGCGCCGAUUGCUCCCUCCGGCUACCAAGCAGCAGCGAGCUCAGUGAACCCCUACCGCUGCCGCACCCUACCACCAAUGGCGGCGCCUCCGGCCACGGCCUCCGCGCCCUCCCUGCGCCCGUCCGCGGCCAGCCCACGCGCCGCCGCCGCUCGGUCGGUCGCCGUCCCCUCAGGGCCUCGCACCGUCGGCCCGAGGCGAGACGGGGGCCGCUUCCUCGGCGUCCGUGCUGCCAAGGCUGUCAGUGGCGUGCAGAGUGGUACCGUGGUGGAUGAUGGAGUGCAAAGACCAUGGAAGCUCAGCGAUGCUCGGCUCGUUCUUGAGGAUGGUUCAGUUUGGAAGGCCAAGUCUUUUGGUGCUUCAGGAACACAAGUUGGUGAAGUGGUAUUUAAUACAUCUUUGACAGGGUAUCAAGAGAUUUUGACUGAUCCAAGCUAUGCUGGUCAAUUUGUCCUCAUGACCAACCCACAUAUUGGAAACACUGGUGUUAAUCCUGAUGAUGAAGAAUCGAACCGAUGUUUCCUUGCUGGUCUGAUCAUAAGGAAUCUAAGCAUAUGUACAUCCAACUGGCGAUGCACAGAAACACUUGAAGAGUAUCUGAUGAAGAGAAACAUUAUGGGAAUAUAUGAUGUGGACACACGCGCCAUAACACGGAGAUUACGAGAAGAUGGUAGUCUAAUUGGUGUCUUAAGUACUGAUCAAUCUCGGACCGAUGAUGAGUUGUUGGAAAUGGCAAAAAAUUGGAAAAUUGUUGGUGUUGAUUUGAUUAGUGGUGUCACAUGCGAUGCUCCAUAUGAAUGGUCAGACAAGACUGAUUCAGAGUGGGAAUUCAAGAAGGGUCAAUCGACUGAAAGUUUUCAUGUGGUCGCAUACGAUUUUGGAAUCAAGCACAAUAUUUUGAGACGUUUGACGUCAUAUGGAUGCAAGAUAACUGUUGUUCCAGCCAAUUGGCCUGCUUCUGAGGUACUUAACUUGAAGCCUGAUGGUGUGUUUUUUAGCAAUGGUCCUGGAGAUCCAGCUGCAGUUCCAUAUGCUGUGAAGACAGUACAAGAAAUAAUAGGGAAGGUUCCUGUGUUUGGCAUCUGUAUGGGCCACCAAUUGAUUGGGCAAGCUCUUGGUGGGAAGACAUUUAAAAUGAAGUUUGGUCAUCAUGGAGGAAAUCAUCCUGUUUGUGACCUUCGAAGUGGACGUGUCGACAUAAGUGCACAAGCUUUCCGUAUUACUGGUGUUGGGAGAGGUGCUGGACUUCUCGCUGUGACACUUCCUGAUGAAAACUUGGAGCUUCUGAGAGUAAUGAAUUUGAACCUUUAGGCUGUUAGAACCAUAAUUAUGCUGUUGACCCAGAGUCACUUCCAGAAGGGGUGAAAGUAACACAUAUCAAUCUCAACGAUAAUAGCUGUGCCGGCCUUCAGUACCCUAAGAUGAAACUUUUGUCUCUUCAGUACCAUCCAGAGUCCUCACCCGGGCCGCAUGAUUCUGACUUGGCUUUUGGUGAAUUUAUAGAGAUGAUGAAGAACAACAGAUUGUGAGGCGCAAAUAUAAGAUACAAGGGUUUGGUUCUUGAACCGGGAGGUGAGAGGUUCUAUUUCAGAUUUCUGAUGAGAGCCACAAGAGUCAAAAUAAUCUGUUGUACCUGUAGCUUUUCUUUCCUUAUUAUAAGCUCCGACAAGCUUGAAUGCGAGGGUCAAGGACUCGAGAAUAAGUUGCUUUGUGACUGAAUCAGCCUAUGCAAAAAUAUUUUACUCCUCAGUCCUCAGGCUUCCUGUAUUUCCA